CCUACGGGAGGCUGCAGUGGGGAAUAUUGCACAAUGGGGGAAACCCUGAUGCAGCGACGCCGCGUGAGUGAAGAAGUAUUUCGGUAUGUAAAGCUCUAUCAGCAGGGAAGCGAAUGACGGUACCUGAGUAAGAAGCCCCGGCUAACUACGUGCCAGCAGCCGCGGUAAUACGUAGGGGGCACGCGUUAUCCGGAUUUCCUGGGUGUAAAGGGAGCGUAGACGGCGAAGAAAGUCUGAAGUGAAAGCCCGCGGCUCAACCGCGGAACUGCUUUGGAAACUUUUUUGCUGGAGUACCGGAGAGGUAAGCGGAAUUCCUAGUGUAGCGGUGAAAUGCGUAGAUAGUAGGAGGAACACCAGUGGCGAAGGCGGCUUACUGGACGGUAACUGACGUUGAGGCUCGAAAGCGUGGGGAGCAAACAGGAUUAGAUACCCCAGUAGUC
rnacentral:rRNA from 1 species